AUUGAACGCUGGCGGAAUGCUUUACACAUGCAAGUCGAACGGCAGCACGGGUGCUUGCACCUGGUGGCGAGUGGCGAACGGGUGAGUAAUACAUCGGAACGUACCCAGUUGUGGGGGAUAACUAACCGAAAGGUUAGCUAAUACCGCAUACGACCUGAGGGUGAAAGCGGGGGACCGUAAGGCCUCGCGCAAUUGGAGCGGCCGAUGUCUGAUUAGCUAGUUGGUAGGGUAAAGGCCUACCAAGGCGACGAUCAGUAGCUGGUCUGAGAGGAUGAUCAGCCACACUGGAACUGAGACACGGUCCAGACUCCUACGGGAGGCAGCAGUGGGGAAUUUUGGACAAUGGGCGAAAGCCUGAUCCAGCCAUUCCGCGUGAGUGAAGAAGGCCUUCGGGUUGUAAAGCUCUUUCGGCAGGGAAGAAACGGCCUAGGUUAAUACCUUGGGCUAAUGACGGUACCUGAAGAAGAAGCACCGGCUAACUACGUGCCAGCCGCCGCAGUAA
rnacentral:rRNA from 1 species